AAAGGAUUAAAAUGUCCUUAUUCGUCAGUGGCGGAUCCAGAAAUUUUUGUUUUUCACUGACUGCCUAAGAGGGGGCCCGCUACAGUAAUGCUUCAGUGAUUCCCUACGUAGUCAACUUAAUUUUUCCUAAAAAAUGGGGGACCGGGUACUCCCCCCCCCCUAAAUCCGUCUCUGUUCGUGUGAACACAACAGUUCCAUAGAAAAAAGUUACGGAAGUUUCCUGUCGUGGUGAUUGGGUGAUGUAUAAACAGGUAUGUUAAAUACGUAAUUCCCAAUAACUUUUCAUUGGACAAUCCCAUAUUUUGUUGCUAAAAAUAAACCUGAAAAUCCUAGUUUGUACGUCAUCAGGGUUUACCUAGUAAAUACACAAAGAAGACAGAUUAAUAGAAUAGAUAACGCGUGGAGAUUUGAUCACAAAGAAAUUUAACAAGAACAUGGAUUUGUAAAUGUGGAACAGCAUUAAAACUAAAAACGAAAAGGUAUUUAUCUCCUUUUAUAACAUUUUUGUUUAAAUAAAAUGAAGUUAUUACUGUUCUAUAAUUAUGAUCUAUAUAACCAUAUAUAUAUAUACUAAAAAUAGUUUUUAAAUGGAAAUACCUUGAAAAUUUGUCAAAUAUUCAAGACAAAGGGAUACGACUUAAACAUCAGAAAAAUAUUAUUGAAAGUUCGAGUUACAUGUACUACAUUUAAUUUUUAACAUAAAAGACAAGUUGUGAUCUUGAAAUGCGAAAUUAACCUGAAAGUUUAAAAAAGAUUUGUAAGUUUAAUGUUUGUAUGCUCGAUAACAAAGACAUUUCGGCAGGUGUUUAUCUUGGUUUCUAAACAAAUUUAUUUGUCAUUGUACUGUAUAUGGUGUAAAAAUUUAUAUGAAUACGAGUAAGAUACGAGUAUAAUACAAAACUGUACAUGUUUUUGUUUGUCAUAUUAUUUGAGAGAGAGAGAGAGAGAGAAAGGUAUAUAUUUUUAAUAUGUUUUUUUGUUAUAUUAUUUGAGAAAGAGAGAGGGGGAGAGAAAACUCGGUUAUCCUGAAAGUCGGAGACUUAGACAUACUACAUUGUUAUUAUAAGAACAAGACAAUUAGAUAAUUAAGGGGGAUGUAUAUUUAUUUCCCUCGUACUAAUAUAUUUACCAUUUAUAAAAAUACGUGAAUGAUAAUCAUCUGAAAAUUCACAGAUUUUUAAAAUAUUGUUAAGUAUAGUAGUGUCACGCAAUGCUGUCUAUCAACUAACACGGAAUAAAGAUAAACUAUUGAGGUAUGAUAAUUUACUAAUUAUGAUUGAUAUUUGCGAUUGGUAGAUAAGUUUGGCAUAUUGUAACUAAUAUAUAAUUGUUUUAUUGCUAAUUUUGGCAUGUUUAGUACUCAGUAAUUGUCCCCUAAAGGUUCUAUAGCUAUAAACGCCAUAUUAUUCGUGUUUCCACUCAAAUACAAUCAUUGUACAUUUUGAAAGAAUAUUUACUUUAUACAUUUUAUAAACAAAAAUUGGAGUUUCAAAACUGGUAAUAUAUUAGACAUUACAAGGUUAGAUAUAUUUUGAACACUUUGUCUGUGAUACUUCUUUUUUUACUUGUUAUUCCGUGACACAGGUUUUAUUUGGAAAACGAAAAAAAGUGUCGGUAUAUGUCUUUUUGUACUCGUUAUUCUGUUACAGGUUUUAUUUGUAAAUGAAAAAAAGUUUUGGUAGUUUAUAUAUUAGAUACAUGUACAUGUAGUUUCCUGUUUAAUCAUUCCGUCAUUACGUCUAGACAGUAAAACAUGUUGGUUUCUGUAUAACGGUAAUACUUUUCUGAUACCUUUGCAUACUCCUGUUUCGUAGUUAUUAUAAUUUUCAUGUUUUCGUAGUUAUUAUAAUUUUCAUGUUUUAGUAGUUAUUAUAAUUUUCAUUUAUUUGGAAGAAUUCAAAAUGAUUAAUAUAGAUAAUUAAUUGAAAAAUGAUAAGAGAACGACCAUUUGACUUCAAGUUUGUGAUGUUUUUUUUACUAAAAUAUUAUUCCGAUCCCGAACUUGAUGAUAACAAAUAUUGUAGUCAACCAGAUGACAAAAAAAUCUGAUUUGCCUCCAUACCUCAUAGUGUUGAAUUUUGAGGAAGAAAAAAUUUCUAAAAAAAAUACCAGUAUCCCCCCCCCUUUUAAGUUGAUGGUUGGUAUACAGUGGGAUGGCCUACAGAUUAACAGGCUAACAAUACGAUACAAAUGGCUCGUAUCGGGAUCUAAUUACAUUCGCACCCACACGUUCGCCCCAUAGGCCAGGAAUCUGUCGAUUUGAUUUAUUUAAAAAGAAAAUAAACAGGAAGUGUUCAUUACAAAAUGAAUUGACAAACUAAAUCAAUAAAUCAAAAUAAUUGUAAAAUUUUAGCGAUUUCUGUAAUUUAGUUCUCUUUUUAUUUCGAUAUUACCGCUAUUUCUCCUAUUAGUUCUACAGAAAUUAACAAAAAUGUAUGCUUCUUUCGAAGGCAGAUUGUGAGCGUAAAUGAACGGUGACCCCAUUUUUUUAUUUCAUUUUUCUAUUUAGUAUAAGAUAAAGUUCAUUUAUAGACAAAUAUAGAGAAAUCCUAUAUUAAAUAAAAAAUUUCAUUUAGAUCCGCGAGCCCCCUUAAGUAGUUUUAAAAAGAACAUCAAACAGAUGCAUACAUGUAAUAAUUUUCAAUUAUCACAUUAAGGUGACCGUGUUCUAAAAAUAACAAGAUGUAUUAUAAUUGCCAAUGAAACAACUCUCUACCCAUGCUACCAGUGACCAAAUGUCAUAAAAGUUAACAACUGUCGGUCAUCUUACAGCCUUCAAGAAUGAGCAAAACCCAUACUGCAUGGUCAGAUAUUAAAAGCUUGAAAAGGGCAAAUGUCAAACAAUUCAAAUGAGAAAGUAAUGGCAUGAUUUAUGUUAAAACAAUGAACAAAAUACAAAUGUGACAUACAUUUUGUACAGUAACAAAUGACAUCCACUGAAUUACAGGCUCCUGACAUGACUUUUUUUCAUUAUUAUUUUAAUAAUUGUUAACUUAAGGUUACCAUGGUUAUGUUUGUCAAUAUUUAAGAUUAAGAAUUAGGUCAUAAUCUAACUAACUGUAUGAAAAAGGCAAAUUAAUUAUAUCAAGUCCAAAGAUUCAUUGUCAUUAAAAUAGUAUUUAGGAGUAAUAAGAAACACUAGUCACCUUAGAGCCAGAAUAAUGUGCCUGGGAAUUAUAACUUUGAACCAGAACAAUACGAAUCAUGUUAAGCAUGUCAAUAAAGUACAAAGCAGGGGUCAUGUGACAUGAACAUGUGUUGAUAUGCAUGAUUUCUUUACUACAUUGGUUAGAGGUAUAGGGGGAGGGUUGAGAUCUCACAAACAUGUUUAACCCCGCCGCAUUUUUGCGCCUGUCCCAAGUCAGGAGCCUCUGGCCUUUGUUAGUCUUGUAUUAUUUUAAUUUUAGUUUCUUGUGUACAAUUUGGAAAUUAGUAUGGCGUUCAUUAUCACCCUUGUUAAACUCUUGCUUUACAAAAAGUGGGGGUCAUACUGUUUUACCUCUGUCGAUAUCCAUCUGUCCCAUGAAUAUUUUUCAUGGCAUCUUUCUCAGGAACUACAUCAUAAGGAUUUCUGAAAUUUGGUUGCAGGGUUUAUAUAAGUCAGCUGUACCGUGUGAUGAGUUCUCAAAUUCAUCACUCAGCAACAUGCAGUUUAAAGAACAUUUACAUAUUUUUACAUUAUUAAAAUUGGCCAGUUGUGGUGGUGGGGGGGGGGAUAUCAUCAUUGAGUAGAACUCACAGUUUCACUUGUUUUGACUCAUAAGUUACAUCUAUCAGUGACAAAAUAUUAUAUUUGAUUAACUUUUUACUUUUUCAGGAAGUUUUAAAGCAGAAAAGAGAAAUUGAGACUGCAUUAACCAAUUAUAAAGACAAGAAAUCUAAACAGUAUAAAAAGUUGUGUAAAAAGACAUACAAAGGACAGCCUGUGAUGAAAAAUCAAAGAAAUACUUCUACAUAAAAUUCAAUCUGGAAUUGAUCAAACGUAAUAAAAAUGUAAAAUAAUUCUGUAUGAAAAUAUUUGCCAUGACGUAAGUUUUUUUUUUAGUUUGAAUGUCCCUUCUGUAUUUCUGCCACUCUUUUAGGUGCCUGUUUUCUCCAGAUGAAAUUUCAUUAUAAGUGCAUUGAAGAACAACUAGAUUUUUGUCCCGCCUGUAACAAAAGUAGCAGAAUGCGCGACAUAGGAAUUCAUCCUGGGAGACGGUGUAAGCUAUUUAUUUAAACCAUUAUAUGUCUGAAGGAAAAGAACCUGGAUGCUUCAUACCUUGUAUGCAGAUGGCUACUGUUAUGAGAUUUCUGUCUGUCAUACUUGCAUUGUCUUUGAACUCUAAUCAUGUUAAUUUCUUGGUUCAGCAACUGCUUGAAAACAAAUAUUGUUUUUUUAGGUCAUGUUAAUUUCUUACUUAUAAUGAGUAAUAUGAUAACUGUAUUUGGUAUAUAUGGGUUCAUUGCAAGGAAUACAUGUUUGUCAAUCAGGGUUCACCUGUUCUCAACUUCAUUGGAUUGAUCAGUGGUCAAGGUUAAGUUUACAUGGUCAGGUUCAGACCUCAAAUAGUUUAUGUAAUGUGUCAACUAUAUUUGUUGUAUGGAAUGAUUGCAACGUCUAUAUAUCUGAUUGUCAGGUUUCAUCUAUCUUGACCUCAUUAUCAUGGUUCAUUGGUCAAUGCUAUUUUUUUCUGAUUUGGUCUAUUUGCCAGAUGCUAUAAGCAAAGGUCAACUAUAUUUUGUGAAUAAAGGAUUGUAAGAUGUAUAUGUCGGUCUGGCAUGGUUCAUCUGACCUUGACCCCAUUUUCAUGGUUUAUUAGUCAAUGUAAGUUUCAUGAUUAUUUUUGUUUUUCAGAUACUGUAAGUUAUAGGUAAAUUAUAUUUGGUGUAUGCUAUAACUGCAUGUUGUACAUGUUUUAUUCUGGCAGGUACUGUCUGACCUUGACCUCAUUUUCCUGGUUCGUUGGUCAAUGUUCAAUUUUCGUAAUUAGGGCUGUUUCCUAGAUACCAUAAGCAAUUUGUUAACUAUAUUUGGUGUAUGGUAAGAUUGUAAGGUAUAUGUUUGUCUUGUUUUAUCUGACCUUGACUACAGAUUACAAUUUGUACAAAAUUCGACAAUUUUGUUAUAAAAAAAGCAUAAACCAACAACUUUAUGGAUACCCUGACUCAUGAGAGCAUGUCGACAGGAUGACCAUUUUGAAUUUGUUCAAAGGGAAAGAUGUCAUCAAAGUAUACACCAAACUUUAAUUAUGCAACGAUUCUUCAUACCUUUUAUAGCAGAACAUAAAGUAAAAGGGUAAAAUGCCAGCAUCUGAUUAUCCUUUCCGAUAAGUUCUAUGCAGUCUGUUUUAUAGGAAAAAACAGUUCAAUAGAAAACGAGUUCAAAUAAGAAUGUUGUUUUGAAAAACUCCUCCACUAAAUAUGUUGUCCGUAAAAUGAUAAGACACUCAAUAACUGUUGAUCAUACGAGUUAAAGAGAGCUUUUUCCGACACACAUCUUGGGUUCGCAAUGCAUGCAACAGUAAUCUGGUAUUCAGUCUAAAGAUGCAUCCCUUAGUUGUUCCAACAGUUCUUGGGUUUUUAGUAUUGAACUUGAAUUUUAUGUACAUGUACAUAAUUGCAGUGUCCAACAUCGAUCAUUGGAUGAAAUAAGCGUAAUUGUAUGCGAAAACAUACCACAACAUGACCGGAUACAUCUUGUUUUACUUAGGAACCUGACCAAAAAAACUUAUCAGGUAAAAGAUCACAAAGUUUCAUGGUUUCUUGAUCAUCAUACGCCAAUUUCAACAGAUCGCACUGCAACAAGAUCAACUGCACAUGGUUGUUUCUUUUCACACAGCCAAAUGUUGGUUUGGUGGCGCUGCUGGCUGUUUCGCUGUUUCGUCUUGCUUAUAGUUUAUUGUGUACUACUUGGUGUAAUGUAACUCUACUGUAGUACUUUAGCCUCCAACACCAACUUAUUAAAUAAUCGCAAUUAGAUCCUCAUCGGAAGCAGUAAUUUACAACCAUACUGCAAGAAUAAACUGUCAUCAGUACCCAUCCUGUAAAUGCUCCUGAUCAAAUAUUCGGCGUUAGGCGUUCCUGAUGAAGGUACAUUAAAAAAAAACGUAUGGGACGCAUGAAAUUAAUAAAGGUUGUUUUCUUUUUUACAGCAUUGUUCCAUUCCACUGGUGUUAGACUAUCAGUCCACGAAGGAGUCGUCAGCUCAUAAGUCAGUACUUCGGAACUGAAAUGAUUUAUAAAAAUUUCUUUUAAAUUGUCUGUUUAUAAAUCUAAAUAUUAUAAAAAAAAAAACC
rnacentral:lncRNA from 1 species